CUCCUCCUCAGGUGUCUGAACACGUCCCGACAUGCGAUAACGCAUCGUUAACCAAACCUGGGCAAACUUCUACACUGUGAAACGAUGUACAUGCUCUGAAUAUCGCGACAUCACGUGACGUGAGCAGAAUACACCGCAGCAGGAAGCGAGGACGUCGCAUCGGGAAGGAAAAGAGAGUCGAGACCUGAUCAAAACUAAUGACGUGAGGUGAGGGGAAGGGGCGGGGCUUCUGCAAGGUGUUAGAACAACUACACGACUGUCAAUCAUUACAGAUUACAGUUCACACACCUGAGGGAGAAACUUCUCAGUGUGUAGUGUUCAGGAUUUAAUCUGAUCUGAGGUCCGAAUCCUCGAGAUGAUCAACACUGACUGCACUGGAGCUCAAGGAGAGAAAAGGUGUGUGUGUGUGUGUGUGUGUGUGUGUGUGUGUGUGUGUGUGUGUGUGUGUGUGUGUGUGUGUGUAACAUCCCUGUUCAUAGACCACAAUGUAGGAUUUGAAUUAAUAAACACACGUCUUUGUUUGUAGGUGAUGAUAAUCAGAGGAUAAGUUCAGGAGUUGGUGCUCAAGUUCUUUUACUUUCCCUAUUACAAAUGUUGGCACUUAUGUAGAACUACAGUGCGGACACACACACACACACACACACACACACACACACACACACACACACACACACACACACACACACACAAA